GGGCCUGUAGCUUAGAGGAAAAGCGUGUGCAUGGCAUGCACAAGACCGCGGGUUCGAGUCCCGCCAGGUCCACCA
rnacentral:tRNA from 1 species